CUGGAUAUCUACUACAGGGGUCAGCCACAGCGCACGCGGCCAUCCAUCUCCACAAGGACCCUCCACACACAAAGUCUGUGGAGCCUUUGGAGGAAUUUGUUUUCCAGGUGCCCAAGGAGCUUGGCACGAAGCCCAGGGAGGCCAUGGAGAGGGAGACACCAGGAAUACCAGGAGUAGCUACUGCCUGGGAGGACUGGAGCCUCCAGAGCCCCCAGAAGAUUCUUCCUCACCCCCUUCCAUCAAGUCUGAACAUCACAUAGAUGAGAAGGAAUCGGCUGCAGGGCUGGGACAGGAAGCAGUCCAUGGAAGUCACUGCAAUGGCAUUUCCUGAAGAGCGAGAGAAAAACCUCUAGUUCCGAGGGGAGCUCUGGAGUCUGCCCAAAAAGCCCUGUAGCUUGGAGCUAGC